CCCUGGCUCAGGAUGAACGCUAGCGGCAGGCUUAACACAUGCAAGUCGAGGGGUAGAGUUCUUCGGAGCUUGAGACCGGCGCACGGGUGCGUAACGCGUAUGCAAUCUACCUUUUACAGAGGGAUAGCCCAGAGAAAUUUGGAUUAAUACCUCAUAGUAUUAUGAAAUGGCAUCAUUUUAUAAUUAAAGUCACAACGGUAAAAGAUGAGCAUGCGUCCCAUUAGCUAGUUGGUAAGGUAACGGCUUACCAAGGCUACGAUGGGUAGGGGUCCUGAGAGGGAGAUCCCCCACACUGGUACUGAGACACGGACCAGACUCCUACGGGAGGCAGCAGUGAGGAAUAUUGGACAAUGGGCGCAAGCCUGAUCCAGCCAUGCCGCGUGCAGGAUGACGGUCCUAUGGAUUGUAAACUGCUUUUAUACGAGAAGAAACACUACUUCGUGAAGUAGCUUGACGGUAUCGUAAGAAUAAGGAUCGGCUAA
rnacentral:rRNA from 1 species